GGAGAAGGAUGGCAACCCACUCCAGUAUUCUUGCUUGGGAAAUUCCUUAGACAGGAGAGCCUGGUGGACUACAGUCCAUGGGGUCGCAAAGAGUCAGACACAACUGAGCACGUACAUGUGCAUACUCUCAAAGGCAGUUGGAAACUAAUUAAUAUGUUCCAAAAUGAAUUCAUCCUAUUCUUCCCCAACCUACUCCUUUUUUCAGUAUCUUUUAGAGCAACUGAUUUUGUUUGAGUUCCUAUUCAACUGAGCUGGUAAAAAUAUUUCUUAAUUUUUAUCGGGGAUUUCCUGCCCGCAACUGCUUCUAUACCCUUGAGGUAUACAGUGGGCCGAGAAGAAAGGUUUUAUGAUGCAGUGGCAUUUUCCCUGCUCAGCCUCCUCCGUGGAUGCUUCCUCAUCCCACGUUUAAUGAGGAGGCUGCAGAGAGUCCAUCUGAGAGAUGUGGGUGCUCUGGGACCUU
ensembl:lncRNA